CCUACGGGAUGCUGCAGUGAGGAAUAUUGGUCAAUGGACGAGAGUCUGAACCAGCCAAGUAGCGUGAAGGAUGACUGCCCUAUGGGUUGUAAACUUCUUUUAUAUGGGAAUAAAACGUUCCACGUGUGGGAUUUUGUAUGUACCAUAUGAAUAAGGAUCGGCUAACUCCGUGCCAGCAGCCGCGGUAAUACGGAGGAUCCGAGCGUUAUCCGGAUUUAUUGGGUUUAAAGGGAGCGUAGGUGGAUUGUUAAGUCAGUUGUGAAAGUUUGCGGCUCAACCGUAAAAUUGCAGUUGAAACUGGCAGUCUUGAGUACAGUAGAGGUGGGUGGAAUUCGUGGUGUAGCGGUGAAAUGCUUAGAUAUCACGAAGAACUCCGAUUGCGAAGGCAGUUCACUGGACUGCAACUGACACUGAGGCUCGAAAGUGUGGGUAUCAAACAGGAUUAGAUACCCCUGUAGUC
rnacentral:rRNA from 1 species